GCCGUGAGGUGUUGGGUUAAGUCCCGCAACGAGCGCAACCCCCGGGCUUAGUUAGUUUCCUAAGCCGACUGCCGGGACCAACCCGGAGGAAGGUGGGGAUGACGUCAAGUCAGCACGGCCCUUACGUCCUGGGCUACACACACGCUACAAUGGCCGGUACAGUGGGCGGUGCGAAGCCGCGAGGCGGAGCGAAUCCCUGUAAAGCCGGCCCCAGUGCAGAUCGGGGGCUGCAACUCGCCCCCGUGAAGUCGGAGUUGCUAGUAACCGCGGGUCAGCACACCGCGGUGAAUACGUUCCCGGGCCUUGUACACACCGCCCGUCACGUCAUGAAAGCCGGGGGCGCCUGAAGCCGGCGGGGUGACCCGCGAGGGGGCCAGCCGUCGAGGGCGAAACCGGUGAUUGGGACGAAGUCGUAACAAGGUAGCCGUACCGGAAGGUGCGGCUGGAUCACCUCCUUUCUAGGGAGACCAUCACUUCGGCUCCCCUCCCGGGGAGAGGACGAGGUGGGAUCCUCAGGUCGAUCGGGGCUCGCUCGGAGCCGCCUUCCCAUCGCUCUUCUGCUGUGGACGCAGACCACGCAGGAGCCUAUAAUCACGCGCGUGUUUGAUCGGAGCCGGGUGCUGAGGGGCGACGUGCCGUAAGGCCGGUCGUGACCCGGAUGCAGUCGGCCCGUCGAGCGGGCCGUUUUUUUGUGGGCUCGGUUAACAGCCGAAGAGAGAGUCAAGCCGACCGGCGAGCGCCUGCGUCCUAGCAGGCGUCGCCGAGAUGAACGAUGUCGAUUGAGCGGAGGGCGCGACGGAUGCGUCCUGCGUUAGAGAGUGCUCCCGGGGGAUGCCCGAGGUGCCGGAGGCCGAGGAAGGGCGGGCGCGAGGGCCCGAGAGCGUGGGGGAGCCCCCUGGCGGGCGGGGAUCCCACGGUGC
rnacentral:sRNA from 1 species